rnacentral:rRNA from 1 species
GGACAGCCUACCUAUGGAGGGGGAUAACCCCGGGAAACUGGGGAUAAUACCCCAUAGACUAUAGAUGCUGGAAUGCUCUGUAGUUGAAAGGUCCGCCGCCAUAGGAUGGGUCUGCGGCCGAUUAGGUUGUUGUUGGGGUAACGGCCCAACAAGCCUGUAAUCGGUACGGGUUGUGGGAGCAAGAACCCGGAGAUGGAUUCUGAGACACGAAUCCAGGCCCUACGGGGCGCAGCAGGCGCGAAAACUUUACAAUGCGGGAAACCGUGAUAAGGGAACUCCGAGUGCCCGUAAAAUCGGGCUGUCCAUCUGUGUAAAUAGCAGGUGAAGAAAGGGCCGGGCAAGACCGGUGCCAGCCGCCGCGGUAAUACCGGCGGCUCGAGUGGUGGCCACUAUUACUGGGCUUAAAGCGUUCGUAGCUGGUCUGUUAAGUCUCUGGGGAAAUCUUCCGGCUUAACCGAUAGGCGUCUCAGGGAUACUGGCAGACUAGGGACCGGAAGAGGUGAGAGGUACUCCAGGGGUAGGAGUGAAAUCCUGUAAUCCUUGGGGGACCACCUGUGGCGAAGGCGCCUCACCAGAACGGCUCCGACAGUGAGGGACAAAAGCUGGGGGAGCAAACCGGAUUAGAUACCCGGGUAGUCCCAGCUGUAAACGAUGUGCGUUAGGUGUAUCGGUGACCACGAGUCACCGAGGUGCCGAAGAGAAAUCGUGAAACGUACCGCCUGGGAAGUACGGUCGCAAGGCUGAAACUUAA